rnacentral:tRNA from 1 species
UUUUAAAUAGUUUAAAUUUGUAAAAUUUAAUAUUGAAGAUAUUAAGAUAGUAAAUACUUUUAAAAG